rnacentral:rRNA from 1 species
CUGUUGAUCCUGCCGGAAUCACCACCAUGGUGCUGCCUUCUGCCAACGAGCAGAUCAGAAACUUCGCUCUCGUCAACUUGGAGAGCAAGGUCAAGCAGGCAAAAGACCAGGACGGCAUGGUGUUGGGGUACCUAUCACGCAUACUUGAGAGGGAGGUGUACUUGGCUCAGAGGAAGAUGGAAACCAAGUACAGGUUGAAGAAGGACCCUGCUUUCAAAGUAAAGGAGGUGUUUUAGGCUAUUGCGAAGAAAGGAAAGAAGACCAUGUCGCUCAACAGACUGGUUAGCUUUAUCAAGGACAAUUCCAAGUUCGAUCCCAAGCAGCACGAGCUCGAGGCCAUCAUGAGAAGGUGUGACCAUGACGCGGACCUCCGACUCAGCUAGGAGGAGUUUGCAGAGCUCUUCGAAAUUUAGGUGCCUAUCGAAGUCUCUGCCAAGGCAGAGGUACCACCCUUAAUCUUCAACCAAGAGCCAAGUAGCCAUGCCCAGGUAAAGAAACAACAGUUGAUCGCAGCCCUCUGCAGCACCCUACAGUCCAAGAUGAAAUUUUACUCAGUGGUAAACAUGCAACGACAACUGCUGAACUCUAACGUGUGCUUUAUCCGAAGCAGUGUUGCAGACUGGACGAGAUGGCACGGGGUACUGUGGGCCGAAACUUGCGGACCCUUCGAGACUACAGUACCGGACUUGACUUUUGGCCCCGCCGUACCCAGGGUACCAGGCCCUUCUAACCGGGUGGACUUCCUCGAGGGGGGCCCCCCAGGCCG